CCUACGGGAGGCAGCAGUGGGGAAUCUUGCGCAAUGGGCGAAGGCCUGACGCAGCAACGCCGCGUGCGGGAUGAAGGCCUUCGGGCUGUAGACCGCUUUCAGCAGGAACGAAAAUGACGGUACCUGCAGAAGAAGGAGCGGCCAACUACGUGCCAGCAGCCGCGGUGACACGUAGGCUCCAAGCGUUGUCCGGAUUUAUUGGGCGUAAAGAGCUCGUAGGCGGUCUAAUGAGUCGGGUGUGAAAACUCUGGGCUCAACCCGGAGACGCCAUCCGAUACUGUUAUGACUUGAGUUCAGGAGGGGAGCGGGGAAUUCCUAGUGUAGCGGUGAAAUGCGCAGAUAUUAGGAGGAACACCGGUGGCGAAGGCGCCGCUCUGGACUGAAACUGACGCUGAGGAGCGAAAGCAUGGGUAGCAAACAGGAUUAGAUACCCUGGUAGUCCAUGCCGUAAACGGUGGGCACUAGGUGUGGGUUUCAACUAACGAAAUCCGCGCCGUCGCUAACGCAUAGUGCCCGCCGCGGGAGGUACGGUCGCGAGACGUAAACGUACUAAUAGUAAGUUAGACGGUCGUUGAGACGNGCCGACGGCGACGACGAGGGAGGAGG
rnacentral:rRNA from 1 species